rnacentral:lncRNA from 1 species
CAAGACUUUAUGGCGUAUCUGGGCCUUAGAUGAUAAAAAAUAUAGUACCUUUUCAGUAAUAAUUGCAAAAGCCAGUUCAAGUAAGCUAUAUGUCCUGUUAGGUACUCUAAAUAGUGUCGCUCCCUUUGGUGAUAAAAUAGACUUGAAAUAAGUCCAUCCAAAUCAAAAAAAAGAAGCAUACCUGCCACUUCCUGAUCUGAUUUUCUCUGCUCC